CAAUAGCGUAUAUUAAAGUUGUUGCGGUUAAAAAGCUCGUAGUUGGAUUUCUGCUGAGAACGACCGGUCCGCCCUCUGGGUGUGUAUCUGGCUCUUUCUUGGCAUCUUCUUGGUGAACGUUGCUGCACUUGACUGUGUGGAGCGCUACCCAGGACUUUUACUUUGAGGAAAUUAGAGUGUUUCAAGCAGGCAUACGCCUUGAAUACAUUAGCAUGGAAUAAUAAGAUAGGACCUCGGUUCUAUUUUGUUGGUUUCUAGAGCUGAGGUAAUGAUUAAUAGGGAUAGUUGGGGGCAUUCGUAUUUAACUGUCAGAGGUGUAAUUCUUGGAUUUGUUAAAGACGGACUACUGCGAAAGCAUUUGCCAAGGAUGUUUNCAUUG
rnacentral:rRNA from 1 species